GGGGAUUUAGCUCAGUGGUAGAGCACUUGCUUGGCAAGCACAAGGCCCUGGGUUCAGUCCCCA
rnacentral:tRNA from 1 species